UGGGGAAUUUUGGACAAUGGGCGAAAGCCUGAUCCAGCCAUGCCGCGUGCAGGAUGAAGGCCUUCGGGUUGUAAACUGCUUUUGUACGGAACGAAAAGACUCUGGUUAAUACCUGGGGUCCAUGACGGUACCGUAAGAAUAAGCACCGGCUAACUACGUGCCAGCAGCCGCGGUAAUACGUAGGGUGCAAGCGUUAAUCGGAAUUACUGGGCGUAAAGCGUGCGCAGGCGGUUAUAUAAGACAGAUGUGAAAUCCCCGGGCUCAACCUGGGAACUGCAUUUGUGACUGUAUAGCUAGAGUACGGCAGAGGGGGAUGGAAUUCCGCGUGUAGCAGUGAAAUGCGUNGUAUGCGGAGGAACACCGAUGGCGAAGGCAAUCCCCUGGCCUGUACUGAGCUCAUGCACGAAAGCGUGGGGAGCNAAACAGGAUUAGAUACCCUGGUAGUCCACGCCCUAAACGAUGUCAACUGGUUGUUGGGUCUUCACUGACUCAGUAACGAAGCUAACG
rnacentral:rRNA from 1 species